rnacentral:rRNA from 1 species
AUACGGAGGGUGCAAGCGUUGUUCGGAAUUAUUGGGCGUAAAGCGCGUGUAGGCGGUCUUUUAAGUCUGAUGUGAAAGCCCCGGACUCAACCUGGGAAGUGCAUUGGAAACUGGGAGACUUGAGUACGGGAGAGGAGAGUGGAAUUCCUAGUGUAGGAGUGAAAUCCGUAGAUAUUAGGAGGAACACCGGUGGCGAAGGCGACACUCUAGGCCGCACCUGACGCUGAGACGCGACAGCACGGGGAGC